rnacentral:rRNA from 1 species
CCUACGGGCGGCAGCAGUGAGGAAUAUUGGUCCAUGGACGAGAGUCUGAACCAGCCAAGUAGCGUGAAGGAUGACUGCCCUAUGGGUUGUAAACUUCUUUUAUAUGGGAAUAAAACGUUCCACGUGUGGGAUUUUGUAUGUACCAUAUGAAUAAGGAUCGGCUAACUCCGUGCCAGCAGCCGCGGUAAUACGGAGGAUCCGAGCGUUAUCCGGAUUUAUUGGGUUUAAAGGGAGCGUAGGUGGAUUGUUAAGUCAGUUGUGAAAGUUUGCGGCUCAACCGUAAAAUUGCAGUUGAAACUGGCAGUCUUGAGUACAGUAGAGGUGGGCGGAAUUCGUGGUGUAGCGGUGAAAUGCUUAGAUAUCACGAAGAACUCCGAUUGCGAAGGCAGUUCACUGGACUGCAACUGACACUGAGGCUCGAAAGUGUGGGUAUCAAACAGGAAUAGAUACCCCAGUAGUC